CGGUAGGUAGCCUAGCGGCGAAGGCAAGUGACUGUAAAUCACCCACAAAGAAACAUCGGAGGUUCGAGUCCUCCCCCUGCCGA
rnacentral:tRNA from 1 species